GAUGAACGCUGACAGAAUGCUUAACACAUGCAAGUCAACUUGUACUUCGGUUUGGGUGGCGGACGGGUGAGUAACGCGUAAAGAACUUGCCUCACAGUUAGGGACAACAUUUGGAAACGAAUGCUAAUACCUGAUAUUAUGAUUUUAGGGCAUCCUAGAAUUAUGAAAGCUAUAUGCGCUGUGAGAGAGCUUUGCGUCCCAUUAGCUAGUUGGAGAGGUAACGGCUCACCAAGGCGAUGAUGGGUAGCCGGCCUGAGAGGGUGAACGGCCACAAGGGGACUGAGACACGGCCCUUACUCCUACGGGAGGCAGCAGUGGGGAAUAUUGGACAAUGGACCAAGAGUCUGAUCCAGCAAUUCUGUGUGCACGAUGAAGUUUUUCGGAAUGUAAAGUGCUUUCAGUUGGGAAGAAAAAAAUGACGAUACCAACAGAAGAAGUGACGGCUAAAUACGUG
rnacentral:rRNA from 1 species